UGACCUCAAAUCAGGUAGGACUACCCGCUGAACUUAAGCAUAUCAAUAAGCGGAGGAAAAGAAACUAACAAGGAUUCCCCUAGUAACUCGAGUGAAGCGGGAAAAGCUCAAAUUUAAAAUCUGGCGGUCUCCGGCCGUCCGAGUUGUAAUUUAGAGAAGCGUUAUCCGUGCUGGACCGUGUAUAAGUCUCCUGGAAUGGAGCGUCAUAGAGGGUGAGAAUCCCGUCUUUGACACGGACUACCAGUGCAUUGUGAUGCGCUCCUCGACGAGUCGAGUUGUUUGGGAAUGCAGCUCAAAAUGGGUGAGUAAAUGC
rnacentral:rRNA from 1 species